rnacentral:rRNA from 1 species
GGCCAGACUCCUACGGGAGGCAGCAGUGGGGGAUAUUGCACAAUGGGGGGAACCCUGAUACAGCGACGCCGCGUGGGUGAAGAAGCGCCUCGGCGCGUAAAGCCCUGUCAGCAGGGAAGAAAAUGACGGUACCUGAAGAAGAAGCCCCGGCUAACUACGUGCCAGCAGCCGCGGUAAUACGUAGGGGGCAAGCGUUAUCCGGAUUUACUGGGUGUAAAGGGGGCGCAGACGGCGAUGCAAGCCAGGAGUGAAAGCCCGGGGCCCAACCCCGGGACUGCUCUUGGAACUGCGUGGCUGGAGUGCAGGAGGGGCAGGCGGAAUUCCUGGUGUAGCGGUGAAAUGCGUAGAUAUCAGGAGGAACACCGGUGGCGAAGGCGGCCUGCUGGACUGCAACUGACGUUGAGGCCCGAAAGCGUGGGGAGCAAACAGGAUUAGAUACCCGGGUAU